AUAUCCGAAGCACUUAAAAAUACACUACAUGCUCUUGCAUAAUACUUAUAAAACAUCCACGACAUACGAAGAAAAAAAAACAAAAUAAAAUAAAUAAUUCUUUGUGGCUCAUUCAUGGAAACCAAUUCUAAUCUAUUAAAAAAAAUAGAAAAGAAAUUAAAAAAAAAACUUGGGCUGAGGAUUACCCAAUAAGAACGAAUUGGGCUAAAAAAACGCCCCAAAACAAAGCAAAGACAGCCCCCUUGGGCCUAAGGCCGAGCCCAGACUGCCCAGGCCCAAAAACAAAAACCGCAGCC
rnacentral:lncRNA from 1 species